rnacentral:lncRNA from 1 species
UCCUUGACUCGGAUAAUGUUUUAAAAAUGUUCAAACUAUCCAAUAGCAUUAAAGAAGAAAUUCAACGGACGUUUAAAAACGAGAAUCUUGUCUUUCUGAAAAUCAUCGUCCAAUAAGAGUAUUAGAAUAUACCGUUUAUGACCAAUCAGAAAACGAGACCGGCUAUAAAUUUGCUUGGAUUCUCAAAUUCGUUAAAAUCUUCACUAGGAGAGGAAGGAUGCUAACUGAAAACACCCAAAUAUGGAAACCCAACAAUUUUAUUUUAAAUGGAAUUGAUGGACGAAGUGCUUGAAACAAAUAAAUCUGGUCCCUGAAGAAUUAAUAGUGGAAACUGCUUCCACUUCGCAACCAAAGAAAAAACGGAGAAGGAAGAAUAUAAACCGCAACUGUACCCAGCAGAAAAUAAUUAAAUAUGCAAUUAACACUUUAUCACUCGCUGGAAGAAUAGCUCCUCGAAUGAGUCUGACGAUGCCGACGAGAUUCCACCUAAAGCUCCGAGUCAAUAUCAUCGCACAGUUACAUCCGACCCAACAACAUUCGAUACGACAUCCACAUCUACACCUAUUGCCGGAAGAUUCUACAACCCAGCAUCUUUCUCUUCAAUAUUCGACUUCAAAUUUGGAUAUUUGCGUGGUCGAGUCACUCUACAAUCCUCAAGAAGAAACAGCAAUGUCCGAGCCAUCACGAGCCAGUAUCAUGAUUUGAAUUUGUCGGAAUCAAAUAAUUUUAAAGUAAAAUCCCUUGAAUUAUAACUGUCAAAAAUCUAAGAAAUAAACUUGGAUAAAUUACCUUAGAAUUAACAAUCACUAAUGACAG